UGCCCAGCAACUCCUAUCUCUACCUCCUCGUGGUACUGGCCGGGGUACGAGUAACCUUAGGGAAGAUCUGGUAACCAACUCCGGUAAGAACUUUGGUCGUACGCUAAAAGGGAAGG
rnacentral:ribozyme from 1 species